AUGAAUUACACCAAUAACCUACUAUCUUCUCUCCCAACAAAUUUUAAUCAAGACGAUGCGACACCAUUAUGGUUCAACAAGGCAGACAAUGCAUGGCAACUCACAGCAACCACCAUGGUAGGCAUGCAAAGUGUUCCGGGGCUCGUCAUACUCUAUGGAUCCAUGGUCAAGAAGAAAUGGGCCGUGAACUCCGCAUUCAUGGCCCUAUACGCCUUUGCGGCGGUGCUCUUGUGUUGGGUACUUUGGGCUCAUAACAUGUCAUUUGGUACCAAGCUCACCCCAUUUGUGGGAAGGCCUGGUUUUGCUAUGACACCUAGUAUCCUGAACCAAUAUGAAGGCUAUUUUGUUCCAAAGGCUGACUAUGUGUACUUCCAAUUUGUAUUUGCUGCCAUUACUGUGAUAUUGCUUGCUGGGUCUUUGCUUGGGAGGAUGAACUUCUAUGCUUGGAUGUUGUUUGUACCAAUGUGGCUCACAUUUUCUUACUCAGUUGGGGCUUUUAGUAUUUGGGCAAGUCAAGGGUUUCUUGAGAAACACAUUAUUGAUUAUGCUGGUGGAUUUGUGAUUCAUCUUUCUUCUGGUGUGGCUGGUUUUAUUGCUGCUUAUUGGGUAAUUCACCUGUCAAGUUUCAUUUUUCUGAGUAACUUGGUGAUGGUUAUGUAGGUAGGACCAAGGCAAGCGCAUGACAGGCAACACUUUCCACCAAACAACAUAAUUCACAUGUUGGGAGGUGCAGGGUUUCUAUGGCUUGGUUGGACUGGCUUCAAUGGUGGCUCUCCAUUUGCUGCAAAUGAGAUUGCAUCUUUGGCCAUCCUCAACACCCAUGUCUGCACUGCUACCAGCCUUUUGAUUUGGGUCUCCCUUGACAUGAUUGUGUACAAGAAAAGCUCUGUGAUUGGCGCGGUGCAGGGAAUGAUCACUGGCCUUGUCUGCAUCACCCCUGGUGCAGGGAUUGUGGAGCCAUGGGCAGCCGUAUUAAUGGGAGCAUCGUCUGGUUCAAUACCUUGGUACACCAUGAUGGUAUUGCAUAAAAAAUCACCGUUCUUCCAAAGUGUAGAUGACACACUGGGAGUCUUCCACACUCACGCCGUGGCCGGUGUCUUGGGGGGACUGCUCUCAGGCAUCUUUGCAAAACCAAAUCUUCUGAGAAUGAUGUACAGAAGUAGCCUUUAUGGUCCCGGCUUAUUGUACUGCAUACUUGAUGGGAAUCUACAUAAUGGCCUCAGACAAAUGUGGUACCAGAUCCUUGGAGCUCUUUUUAUCAUUGUAUGGAAUGUUGGUGCGACCAGCGUGAUCUGUUACUCAAUCAGCAAAAUCGUUGAUCUGAGGAUGAAGGAAGAAGAUCUUGACAUUGGUGAUGAUGCAGUGCACGGAGAAGAAGCCUACGCUCUUUGGGGUGAUGGUGAGAAGACGCCAGCGACGAUCAGGAGGCAUUUAAGGAUUCCUUCCAUCUGUAGAUGGCAGAAAUGA